rnacentral:lncRNA from 1 species
UAGGACUUUGAGAAACCCAAAAAACUCAGAGUCCCUUUAGGGAAGCUGUUACCUACUCCCGCCCGCCCCAUGCACGCAGCCUCCUGCGCUGGAUCUACCUCAGGAUGCGACAACUGCAAGCCGGGGCAACUGGAGGAAGCCAGCAAACCCCAGGUCCUACCUGAGCCAGCCAGCCUCGUCCUCUUCUCCCGCUCGGCACUGAGCUCAGCUAGGUGGAGCACAUCUCAACAGCACAAGCCAAGCAAGACCACUCUUCAUCUCUGCAUGUGAUGCUGCAGGACUCUUCACGUCAGCAGGUGUCAGCCUCCAAAAUGAUACUGGGCCUGAUCCAAAGCCCUUGGAAGUCGGUGGAGAGAUUUCUAUUGAUUUCCAUUUGCUUCUCUGAGCAUCAGGGCAGACAGAGAGUGCACUGGGCUUGGAUUCAGGAGACAAAACAGCUCUGCAAUACUCCAGGAGGGAGAAAGAUAAUACCGGAUUUCUAGGCCAGCUCCUUGGCGGAUGUGAAUGGGUAUCAGAAUGGUGAAGAAAGUGCAGUGGCUCCAAUUUUCACCAGAGGAGGAUCCGGCCUGUUUAAUCUGUUUGGAACUACCACUCAACUUCAAAGUGUAAUGGAACCACACAGCUGUGUUUGCAGAGUCCCUGAGCUGGGUCCAGGCACUCUUUGGGGCACGGAUUACAGAGCUGCUGGAGGACUAGCUGGCUUCAGCACAGAGCCUGAGGGGUGAGAAAUCUCUGUAGUGCAUUGUGGGAGCUGGAGCAAAUUGUGACCCAAAGGGUUUCUGCUGUGCAAACCCCAAUGCGUUUUCACUCUUCCUCCCAAUCCCCCUCUCCUUUCCUGUAUAUUCCCACAGUGCAAUCCAUACUCCAUCAGAUCUAAUCUGUAUCCCGUGUGUCCCGGAGGGGUUCUCUGCUCUGCCAUGAUGGCUCAUGUAAGUAUCCCUGUCGCUGGGCUCCACAUCCUGGUGUGGUCUCCCUAUGGCCACCUCUAUUGUGGCUAUGCAGGGAAGAACCCACCCCCGGCUGCCUUAGAUCGCCUUUGACUGUGGCUCUGGGUGCGGUGAGGGAGAAGCACAAAUCGGUGGGGAAGGGCAGGCAGCGGGCCAAGCCAUGAUUCCGGAUUCUCCUCUUGUGCCAGUAUGCAUGGGGGCAUACUGUGUCUUGACAAGGGCCGUAGCAAAAUACCCCCCCACACACACACACAAGGAGCUAGUGGGAAGUGAUUGUGCCUCUCUGAGGAUCAGUUCCUUCCUGGGGCUCCCCCUGUGGGGGAUGCAGUUACAUGCCCUCUCCUUGCACAGCACUGAGCCCAAAGGUUGAGUCUAGCCCAGACCUUCCAUACUUGUAUCUCUAAGUAUUGUGUCUCCCUGGGGAAACACCUUUUGAGUGGUUUCAGCAUGGUAGCCGUGUUAGUCUGUAUCAGCAAAAACAAUGAGAAGUCCUUGUGUUAGAGACUAACACAUUUAUUUGGGCAUAAGCUUUCGUGGGCUAAACCCCACUUCAUCAGAUGCAUGGAGUGGAAAAAAACAGGCAGGUAUAUACAUGAAAAAUACAUGAAAAGAUGGGAGUUGCCUUACCAAGUGGGGGGUCAGUGCUAAUGACACAAUUCAAUUAAAAUGGAAGUGGCUAUUACAGUAGAGUACAAAGGGAGGAAAAUCACUUUUGUAGAGGUAAUAAGGCCAAUGUAAACAGGGUGCCCCAUUUCAAAGGUGUGAGUAACUGUAGGGGGAAAUUAGUAUGGGGAAAUUAGUUUUUGUAGUGACCCAUCCACUCCCAGUCUUUAUUCACGCCUAAUUUGUUUGCCAACUCUGUCCACAUAUCUAUUCAAGGGACACCAUCAUAGGACCUAACUACAUCAGCCACACCAUCAGGGGCUCGUUCACGUGCACGUCUACCAAUGUGAUAUAUGCCAUCAUGUGCCAGCAAUGCCCCUCGGCCAUGUAUAUUGGCCAAACUGGACAGUCUCUACGCAAAAGAAUAAAUGGACACAAAUCAGACA